rnacentral:tRNA from 1 species
GCUUCGGUAGCUCAGUCGGAAGAGCGUCAGUCUCAUAAUCUGAAGGUCGAGAGUUCGAACCUCCCCCGGAGCA